UACGGAGGGUGCGAGCGUUGUCCGGAAUCACUGGGCGUAAAGAGCUCGUAGGCGGUGUGUCGCGUCGGCCGUGAAAACCUGUAGCUUAACUGUGGGCUUGCGGUCGAUACGGGCAUCACUGGAGUUCGGCAGGGGAGACUGGAAUUCCUGGUGUAGCGGUGAAAUGCGCAGAUAUCAGGAGGAACACCGGUGGCGAAGGCGGGUCUCUGGGCCGAUGCUGACGCUGAGGAGCGAAAGCGUGGGGAGCGAACAGG
rnacentral:rRNA from 1 species